GGGUAGCUGGGAGGACGGUAGGCUGGUGACGUGCACUUCAUUUAUGAUGUAGGUCACCCGUUUGGCCAUCCAUCAGCGCCC
rnacentral:pre_miRNA from 1 species